UACGUAGGGUGCGAGCGUUAAUCGGAAUUACUGGGCGUAAAGCGUGCGCAGGCGGUUCGUUGUGUCGGCGGUGAAAGCCCCGGGCUUAACCUGGGAAUGGCCGUUGAAACUGGCGAACUGGAGUGUGGCAGAGGGGGGUGGAGUUCCGCGUGUAGCAGUGAAAUGCGUAGAUAUGCGGAGGAACACCGAUGGCGAAGGCAAUCCCCUGGGCCUGCACUGACGCUCAUGCACGAAAGCGUGGGGAGCAAACAGG
rnacentral:rRNA from 1 species